CCAAGGAGCAGAGCAGCAGAAUAUAAAAUAUGGUAACACCUAUCCACACCACGACUGAAGUUGGAAACAGGACUGCGGCCCCAGUGACCUCA